rnacentral:tRNA from 1 species
GCCCCCGUAGUUCAAUGGAUAGAACGGAGGUUUCCUAAACCUUAAAUGCAGGUUCGAUUCCUGCCGGGGGCA